rnacentral:rRNA from 1 species
GAUGAACGCUGGCGGCGUGCCUAAUACAUGCAAGUCGAACGCUGGAACUCUAGCUUGCUAGAUUGAAGGAGUGGCGAACGGGUGAGUAAUACAUAAGCAACCUACCCACGAAGACUGGGAUAAUCUCUGGAAACGGGGACUAAUACCGGAUAGGUAAUCGGAAGGCAUCUUCUGAUUAUUAAAGGUUAAAAACACUGGUGGAUGGGCUUAUGGCGCAUUAGUUAGUUGGUGAGGUAACGGCCCACCAAGACGAUGAUGCGUAGCCGGCCUGAGAGGGUGAACGGCCACAUUGGGACUGAGACACGGCCCAGACUCCUACGGGAGGCAGCAGUAGGGAAUUUUCGGCAAUGGGGGAAACCCUGACCGAGCAACGCCGCGUGAGUGAUGACGGCCUUCGGGUUGUAAAGCUCUGUUGUAAGGGAAGAACGGUAGAUAGAGAAUAUCUAAAUGACGGUACCUGAACAGAAAGCCACGGCUAACUACGUG